rnacentral:pre_miRNA from 1 species
ACAACAUUCGGACCGUCUGUCUACCGAGCAAUAUCACCCGCUCGGCAGAAGAUCUCUUCUUUGUCGU